GUGGGAAGACAGCGGGUGUUAUGGAGUCCCAGCCACCACCUGCCUGUCAAAUGUCGAGCUUGGUGCAAGCGUUGACAGGCAGGCAAGGAGACAGUCAGCUGUGGUAGUGGCGACGACGACGACAGUCAGGUGUUGGAGGAGCCGCCAGUGUUGGAGGCACCAGUGGUGGUGUAGUGAGUGUCGCGCCACCUAUGUGUGUAGUGGUAAUGGUGGGCCAGCGUAUUGUUCUCCCGGCUCUAUACCGCUGCCCCGUGCUCAUGCUCCCGGCAAGAUGGUGACCUGGUGUUCCCUGCCAGAUCACGUCUUGGAGGUCAUCUUCUCGUACCUGGACGUGCACGACCUGCGCAACUGUUCCCUGGUGUGCAAGACCUGGUACAAGUACCUCAACGACGAGAACAACGACGUGUGGCGGCUCCACUGCGUCAGGAAACUAGCCGAAGAGGCCCUUAAAUCCGAUUUAUUAUCCUCCGUGCCCACUUAUAAGGCUAAAUUGAGAGCCUUCUACCACGCGUGGAACCCCAAUGAUUGCUCGAGGAAUAUCUACGUGAAGCCCAACGGGUUCACCCUGCACCGGAACCCUGUGGCCCAGAGUACCGAUGGGGCCCGGGGUAAGAUUGGCUUCAGGUCAGGGCGGCAUGCCUGGGAGGUGGUGUGGGAGGGCCCCCUGGGCACGGUGGCCGUCAUUGGCAUAGCCACCAGGGAGGCGGCCGUACAGUGCCCGGGGUACGUGGCACUCCUGGGCUCCGACGAACACUCCUGGGGUUGGAAUCUCGUCGAUAAUCACUUGUUACACAAUGGGGAUUCGCAGGGAAAUUAUCCGCAGUUGAAUAAUGCGCCGAAGUACCAGGUAGGGGAGAGAAUACGGGUGAUAUUGGACUGUGAUGAUAACACGUUAGCAUUUGAGAAGAACUACGAAUUCCUAGGAGUUGCUUUUAGAGGACUGCCAGACAAGCAGUUGUACCCUUCAGUGUCUGCUGUGUAUGGCAACACAGAGGUUUCUAUGGUAUAUCUAGGGCCACCACUGGAUGGCUGACCCGCCAUAUUUUUAGUACUGACAAUGCCAGACUGCAGAGUGCAACAUGGUUCCUCGCUCAUCUCAAGGGAUUGUCCGCCCAAAAUGUUUCCUGCAUUGUGACGGAUGUAUGGUGAGGGGUAAUGGAACAGUGGCUAGCUGCUCCUAGUGACAUGUGAUGUUAGAUUUCAGUAAAGGGAGGCGAAGAGACGGCUGGACCAACCACGGUGAUUUAGCCUUGACAAGCUAUGCAUCAUGCAGUGAUUAAUAUAAUAUACAUAACUGUGAGAUUAUUUGUGACGAGUGAGCAACAAAUCUUCCGUAGACAAUGUAAAAACGUAUGUGUGAAGAGAGUUGCAUAAACCUUGGCAAAGGAUGAACAAGUACAACACACGCAAAACUCAGUGCAAUUACUACAAUUACUACUUACAUAUAAGGCAACCCAGGCGGCUGCUGGUUUAUUGUGAUUUUUUCAAAACUGACUGUGGGCGAGUCUCUGUAUAUAGAUGAGGUGCCGUUUUUAAGAACUUCCAACGUGUGAUGCUGAUAUAGGACUUAGAAGAUCAGUUUGAAGCGUAAGUAGCUCCCGAAGUUUCACAGAUCAGUGCAGUUGUUACAGCUUUUUACAGUUAAUAAUUUAUUGAUGCGUCAUGGGUUGAUCUUAGCAUUCAGGGAGCCCUAAUAAUAAUGUAAUUUAUUUUAUAGUACUGUAUUACUGUAUAUGAAUUGUGUAAUAUAUAUAUAUAUAUAUAUAUAUAUAUAUAUAUAUAUAUAUAUAAAUAUAAUUUGGAAGCAGGUUUUUUUCUAAUACACAUGUCAUUAAACACAACAGCAUUGUGACUAUUAUUAAUUCUCUUUUGGAUAUUUUCCAUUCUGCUUUAAGCAAAUUCUACUACUGUAUGUGUGUGUGUAAAUCACGAAAAUUAACACAUGAUGAAAAAUGUGACUGUAUCAGACCACGAAGGAAGGAUUGAAACAGGAAUUACCUU